rnacentral:piRNA from 1 species
UUGCCUUUUUGUGGUUAUUAAGAAAG